rfam:Gossypium hirsutum cultivar TM-1 chromosome 20, whole genome shotgun sequence
AAUAGGAGAAUGACAAAUCAGACUUUUCCUCCUGAUUUUUAGCUUUUUUCUCUUGAAAAAAAAUUCAAAUCCAACUAAAAAUGCCAAAAAUCAAAAAGGAAAAAUCUGAUUUGUCAUUCUCCUAUU